GGCCUAGGCGGGACUCGAACCCGCGGCUCUCGCGCCCAGCGUAGCCUCUCGAAACUACUAAGCGAGAAUCAUACCUCUAGACUACUAAGCCU
rnacentral:tRNA from 1 species